AGAGUUUGAUCCUGGCUCAGGACGAACGCUGGCGGCGUGCCUAAUACAUGCAAGUCGAGCGAAUCGAUGGGAGCUUGCUCCCAUUGAUUAGCGGCGGACGGGUGAGUAACACGUGGGUAACCUGCCUGUAAGACUGGGAUAACUUCGGGAAACCGGAGCUAAUACCGGAUAGUUUCUUUUCUCGCAUGAGAGAAGAUGGAAAGAUGGUUUCGGCUAUCACUUACAGAUGGACCCGCGGCGCAUUAGCUAGUUGGUGAGGUAAUGGCUCACCAAGGCAACGAUGCGUAGCCGACCUGAGAGGGUGAUCGGCCACACUGGGACUGAGACACGGCCCAGACUCCUACGGGAGGCAGCAGUAGGGAAUCUUCCGCAAUGGACGAAAGUCUGACGGAGCAACGCCGCGUGAACGAAGAAGGCCUUCGGGUCGUAAAGUUCUGUUGUUAGGGAAGAACAAGUACGAGAGUAACUGCUCGCACCUUGACGGACCUAACCAGAAAGCACGGCUAACUACGUGCCAGCAGCCGCGGUA
rnacentral:rRNA from 1 species